rnacentral:rRNA from 1 species
GACGAACGCUGGCGGCGUGCUUAACACAUGCAAGUCGAACGGAAAGGCCCUUCGGGGUACUCGAGUGGCGAACGGGUGAGUAACACGUGGGUGAUCUGCCCUGCACUUUGGGAUAAGCCUGGGAAACUGGGUCUAAUACCGAAUAUGAUCAUCGGCUUCAUGGCCGGUGGUGGAAAGCUUUUGCGGUGUGGGAUGGGCCCGCGGCCUAUCAGCUUGUUGGUGGGGUAAUGGCCUACCAAGGCGACGACGGGUAGCCGGCCUGAGAGGGUGACCGGCCACACUGGGACUGAGAUACGGCCCAGACUCCUACGGGAGGCAGCAGUGGGGAAUAUUGCACAAUGGGCGCAAGCCUGAUGCAGCGACGCCGCGUGAGGGAUGACGGCCUUCGGGUUGUAAACCUCUUUCAGCACAGACGAAGCGCAAGUGACGGUAUGUGCAGAAGAAGGACCGGCCAACUACGUG